GACCGCAACAUCCUAGAAUCGUCAGAUCGUGAUCCGAUCUAUAGAAUAAGCCAUGGACCGCGAGAAGCACUCGUGAAACACCGUUCGGUCCAUAGUGGACCGCGAGAAACUGAGGGGAAACACCCCCUCAGUCCAUAGAGCCACCCAUGUACUGCCCGGUCCAAGGUGGAUCGGGCUAUCAGGCUCCAAUGUAGGCGUGCGUGGGCUUGGGCCGCGCCCGCGCUCUCGUGUGCUUAGGCCUGAGCCGACCCGCACGUUGGGCUG
rnacentral:lncRNA from 1 species